AUGUCCUUUAUCAACAAAAUUAAGUUGGUUCAAUUAUCCGUCUCUGGCAGGCAAUACAACAUAAUGAUGAUGAUGAAAAAAAUUAUAUUCAUUUCUGGGCAUAGCAAAAGAGAUAGCAGAGGAACACUUAUUCAUCAAUUUGUUAUAAUUACAGUUCAAAGUGAUAAAACAUUGUCUACAUCAAUUUGA